CUUAAAAGAGAGUGAAGCAUCAGAGAUGUCCUUCUGUUGACUGUAAACUUCCAUGUUGUGAGAGGAGGUGGUUACCUGGCAAGAAUGGGAGAGCGGCCUCUAGAAGCUGAGAGCAGUUCCUGGUGGAUGGCUAGCAAGAACACAAGGACCUCAGGUAUCCAACACAGAAUGAACCUGCCAGCAGCCAAUGAACUUGAAAGAGGACCCAGAGCUCCAGACGAGGAAAUCAGGAUGAAAUGGGACCAGAGAGAAAGAAAGGUGCUUUCUUGGAGUUGGAACUGGCAGAGCGGGUAUCAGGACAGACUUCACGUAUGCAUGGAGAGAUAUGGAAUCUACAUACGACUGAAAACCUGGACAUAUAUGUCUCAAUUCUAUUUCUCCUUUUUAGGGGCUAGGGGUAGAAGUGACAAAAAGGGUGAUCUCCUCCACAGAAGACCCGCUUCUCUAUUUACACGAUGCACCAUUACCUCUGAAGUAGCCAUCACCGAUCCUGCAUUCUCAGUUAUCCAUAGAUCCAGACACAGAACUUUCCCUUUGUUACAGAAAAUUUUAUUGCAUAGCACCAAUCUGGAGUAUUUUAUGUCCAUCAACAAUA
rnacentral:lncRNA from 1 species